rnacentral:rRNA from 1 species
GUGUCAGCCGCCGCGGUAAUACGGAGGGGGUUAGCGUUGUUCGGAAUUACUGGGCGUAAAGCGCACGUAGGCGGAUUGGAAAGUUGGGGGUGAAAUCCCAGGGCUUAACCCUGGAACUGCCUCCAAAACUCCCAGUCUAGAGUUCGAGAGAGGUGAGUGGAAUUCCGAGUGUAGAGGUGAAAUUCGUAGAUAUUCGGAGGAACACCAGUGGCGAAGGCGGCUCACUGGCUCGAUACUGACGCUGAGUUGCGAAAGUGUGGGGAGCAAACAGGAUUAGAUACCCUGGUAGUCCACACCGUAAACGAUGAAUGCCAGUCGUCGGGUAGCAUGCUAUUCGGUGACACACCUAACGGAUUAAGCAUUCCGCCUGGGGAGUACGGCCGCAAGGUUAAAACUUAAAUGAAUUGGCGGGG